AACGAACGCUGGCGGCAUGCCUAACACAUGCAAGUCGAACGAGACCUUCGGGUCUAGUGGCGCACGGGUGCGUAACGCGUGGGAACCUGCCCUUAGGUUCGGAAUAACUCCCCGUAAGGGGUGCUAAUACCGGAUAAUCUCUUCGGACCUAAGAUUUAUCGCCUUUGGAUGGGCCCGCGUUGGAUUCGCUAGUUGGUAGGGUAAAAGCCUACCAAGGCGACGAUCCAUAGCUGGUCUGAGAGGAUGAUCAGCCACACUGGAACUGAGACACGGACCAGAAUGCGACGGGAGGGAGCAGUGGGGAAUAUUGGACAAUGGGCGAAAGCCUGAUCCAGCAAUGCCGCGUGAGUGAGGAAGGCCUUAGGGUUGUAAAGCUCUUUUACACGGGAUGAGAAUGACAGUACCGGGAGAAUAAGCACCGGCUAACUCCGUG
rnacentral:rRNA from 1 species